rnacentral:tRNA from 1 species
GCCCGAAUGGCGAAAUUGGUAGACGCGUCAGAUUUAAGCUCUGAUGGUCCGAAAGGGCCGUGUGGGUUCGAGUCCCACUUCGGGUA